rnacentral:lncRNA from 1 species
CAACUUUACAUGGAAACCUCCUUGCUCAAGGGAGUAAAACCACAACCUGUCUCACAGGAAUUUUCAAACUGCAUUCACUAAUCUUCUCCAAGCAAAAGUAAAAUACAGUUUACAACAUGAAAUUAACCUUCUAAUCUCCAUACUAAGUAAUAACACCCAUUACUUAAACGAGCCUAAGAAGAUACAACACUGUCCACUAUACUAAUCCAGACUGAUUAAUAUAGACUUUGGUGUAAGACACUAAGUUACUCACAACUAGGUUCUUACAAUGAUUCACAAAAGCUUGAAAUGUUUCUAACACAAACGAAACGAUUCCUACAAUAUAAACACGAUUACAAGCUAUUCAAAUAACAGUUGGUACAUGAAGCAAUGAAGCACUCUAUCAGGUCCCUGCUGUUUUUCAAGCUUGAAACUCUCUCUUUUGAAUGAAUGAGUAAUCUUGUUGUUUGUUUCGGAAUAUAUUAGUCAUGAAGAGUUAUUAUCCAAUGUACAAACAACCUCGUCGCUUCUGAUUGGUGUAGUACACUGCAGCUUCACCAACUUUCUGACGCAGACAGCUUUACCAGUUGUACAACAUAUGACACUGGACGAGUAUACUUUGCAGAGGACCAGGUCCCUGCACUUGUGAGGAGAUCAUCAAAACAUCUAGGAGCGUUGACACUUAUCACAUAUCCAAUUUGAAAAAGAAAGGACUAAUUUGAAUCUCAUUAAACAAAUGAGUUGAGUUAAUAUCUUAAAAGGUCACUCAACUAUGAGAAAUUAUCUAAGAAUUAAAGUCAUUGAAUUUUGUUUUGUAUUAAUAAAAUCACCCAACUUAAAAAAUUUAUCUUCAAAUAUCACUCAACUAAAUUUAUCAUUAAAACAAAUUUAGCAUGACAAUUUUUUUUUCUUAUGCCAUUUAAUCAUGAACCCACCAAAAAAUAUAUUAUGACAUAAUAGAUGUUUGAAAUAACCACAAAAAAUUAUAAAAAUAAUAUCUAUAUUUUGCUAUGAUUUCUAAUCUUCUUCUUCUGAACCUCAACAACCUCUCUUAGAAGUACAAGAUUGUCCAGCAGUUUUAAUACCUUUAAUUACAACUUUGUCAACACCUUGAGCAGCCAGUACAUUAGUUUUAAUAGUUAUUACUGGUUCUGCAUUUAGUUCCUUGUGAACAAAAAAAAUAAAGAUCUUGGCAGAGAAAACGUUCAAAUUGUAUUACUUUUAAAGUAAAAUCAUUAGUUGAGUUAUGGUCGAUUGAUAUGCCAAAUUUAAAUUUUGGAGAUUAUCGUUUCACGUAUCCAGGUAAUAAUCUCAGUCAUUCGAAGCUUCAUCAGUUGGAAUAUAAUUUAUUUUGUCAUAUCAAAUUUAUUUUAAUGAUUAAUAUAGUUGAGUGAUUUUUGAAGAUAAAAGCCUUAAGUUGAGUGUUUUUAUUGAUACAUAACAUAGUUCAAUGACUUUUCUAGAUAAUUUUAUAUAGUUGAUUGACCUUUUAAGAUAUUAACUCUCAAACAAAUAGAUGAAUAGGAACAGAGCAAAAAAGGAAACACCUCUAGAAAAAAAUUAAAGAACAGGAAAAAACAAAAACACUCAAUUUUUAUAAUUUAGCUGUUUGACAUGGAGUAGUGUGUGGAUUUUUAUGCCACAAAGAUAAUAUGUCACAAAUUAAAACAAAAUGAGUGGCUUAUUUAAUUUAACCCCAUUCAAAUUGCAGAAAUAUGAUAUGUAUACUUUUCUUGAAUAGGAAUAGCGUGCAUGAUAUAUUGAUAUCAAGAAUCAGAACAUCAUGAGAUGACAAAGAGCAAGCUCUUACUCAAUGCAACAUCACGGCCAUUCAAGGUUUUCUCCACGGAGUUUGUGAAGUGAGAUUGAGAUUUCUCAAAGUCGGUGUAAUGUGAAUCCUGCAAGCUUUUAAUCAAGUGCCGAAUGUAGACAUGAGGUCACAAAUUCUCUUGAUUUGUAUAGUGAAUUUUCUUCUCUUUUUGAUUUUCAUUCUCAAGUUUUCUUUUUAAAAUUUGUAAUAAUUCACUUAAAAGUUCUCAUUACAAGAAUUGUAGAGAAAGACAAAGAAAAUAAGAAACAAAAGAAUCUGAGCAAUAAAUAGAAGGAGCAUACCUGAAGAGACGAAGAUAAGUGAGAGAGUAAUUUUUAGAAUGAAUAUAGUGUGAGAGAGAACUUUUGUGCAAUUAAUUGAAGGAGAUAAUUCUGGGCAAUUUCUAGAAUAAAGAUAGUGGGAAGAUAAUUAUAGAAUUACCUAUGCUGGUGUGUGGUACCCACUUGGAGCUAGCAAUCAGAUUCCAAUUGACACGUGUACAACACUUUAAAGUUCAACUAAAAUAGCUUGUUGUUCAAUUUUUACUGCGGUGGUCGUCAAUGUGAUGGCUUUUCUAUAUAGUAGACUAGAUAUGG